rnacentral:rRNA from 1 species
UACGAAGGGGGCUAGCGUUGUUCGGAAUUACUGGGCGUAAAGCGCACGUAGGCGGAUUGUUAAGUUAGGGGUGAAAUCCCGGGGCUCAACCCCGGAACUGCCUUUAAUACUGGCAAUCUCGAGUCCGAGAGAGGUGGUGUGAAUUCCGAGUGUAGAGGUGAAAUUCGUAGAUAUUCGGAGGAACACCAGUGGCGAAGGCGGCUCACUGGCUCGGUACUGACGCUGAGGUGCGAAAGCGUGGGGAGCAAACAGG